GGAGCCAAUCUUGAUAGUAAAACUAGAACGAAAGAGACACCUCUUCAUUGUGCUGCUUCCCAUGGUCACGGAGGUGUCGCUGAUGUCCUUCUCAAGAAUGGAGCUAACGCUAAUAUUGGAAAUAAUUUGAAUACCACAGCUCUUCAUUUAGCUGCUGAAUAUGGUCACAAAAAUGUCGCCGAGGUUCUCCUCAACAAAGGCGCCAGUAUGGAUAUCAUGAA